CCUUUGGAGAGUUAUAUCAAAGGAAAGUAGCUACGGCAAAAUCGGAUUCUAUGAAGAAGGAA
rnacentral:sRNA from 12 species